rnacentral:rRNA from 1 species
GAUGAACGCUGGCGGCGUGCCUAAUACAUGCAAGUCGAGCGAAGCGGGGAUGGCUGAGUAACCCGUGGAUAACCUCCUAUAAGACUGGGACAACUUUGGGAAACCGGAGCUAAACCGGAUACUUAUAGUUGGAUCCGCGCUGCAUUAGCUAUUUGGUAAGGUAAAGGAUUACCAAGGCAUCGAUGCAUAGCCGACCAGAUAGGGUGAUCGGCCACACUGGAACUGAGACACGGUCCAGACUCCUGCGAGAGGCAGCAGUAGGGAAUCUUCCGCAAUGGGCGAAAGCCUGACAGAGCAACGCCGCGUGAGUGAUGAAGGUUGUCGGAUGGUAAAGCUCUGUUAUUAGGGAAGCGGUACCUAAUCAGAAAGCCACGGCUAACUACGUGCCAGCAGCCGCGGUAAUAC